UUAUAUUUUACAUAAAUUAUUGAAUUUUUGAUCCUUUAUUAAUGAUUAAAAAAUUAAGUUACUUUAGGGAUAACAGCGUAAUAUUUUUGGAGAGUUCUUAUUGAUAAAAAUGAUUGCGACCUCGAUGUUGGAUUAAGAUAUAAUUUUAGGUGUAGAAGCUUAAAUUUUAAGUCUGUUCGACUUUUAAAUUCUUACAUGAUCUGAGUUCAAACCGGUGUGAGCCAGGUUGGUUUCUAUCUUUAUUAAAUUAAAAUAUUUUAGUACGAAAGGAGUAAGUA
rnacentral:rRNA from 1 species